rnacentral:rRNA from 1 species
UACGUAGGGGGCAAGCGUUGUCCGGAAUUAUUGGGCGUAAAGCGCGUGUAGGCGGCUUUGCAAGUCGGGUGUGAAAGCCCUCGGCUCAACCGAGGAAGUGCGCCCGAAACUGCAGAGCUUGAGUACCGGAGAGGAUGGCGGAAUUCCCCAAGUAGAGGUGAAAUUCGUAGAUAUGGGGAGGAACACCGGUGGCGAAGGCGGCCAUCUGGACGGAUACUGACGCUGAGACGCGAAAGCGUGGGGAGCGAACAGG